UAUUAUUUUGGGAUGUUAAAUUUUGUGCCUGAGUAGUAUUAGUUAUGUUCUUGAAACUUAAAGAAUUUGGCGGUAUCUUAUUCCAUUCAGAGGAAUCUGUCUCGUUAUCGAUAGUCCACGUUGGACCUUACUUAGUUGCUUUGGUUUGUAUACCGCCGUUUAUUGAUUAUCUUUUUAGGGUUUAUUUAAUUUUCUAUUUUCUUUAUUUUGAUUUAUUUCAGGUCAAGGUGCAGCUUGUUUCUAAGUGGAAUGAUGGAUUACACUGUUAUUUGUUUAUUGGAUUGUUGAUUUUAAUAUUGAUAUGAAAUUGGAUUUGGUUGUAAUGUUUUGUAGAUUAUUUUCAUGAUAAUUGGUUCUGGGAUAUGUACACAUCGCCCGUCGCUCUCGUUUAUCUAUUAAUGAG
rnacentral:rRNA from 1 species